AUUGAACGCUGGCGGCAGGCCUAACACAUGCAAGUCGACCGAGUGGCGGACGGGUGUGUCACGUCUGGGAAACUGCCUGAUGGCGGGGGAUAAUUACUGGAAACGGUAGUUAAUCCCGCAUACCAUCGGAUGUGCCCAGAUGGGAUUCGCUAGUCGGUGGGGUAACGGCUCACCUAGGCCACGAUCCCUAGCUGGUCUGAGAGGAUGGCCAGCCACCCUGGAACUGAGACACGGUCCAGACUCCUACGGGAGGCAGCAGUGGGGAAUAUUGCACAAUGGGAGAAAGCCUGAUGCAGCCAUGCCGCGUGUAGGAAGAAGGCCUUCGGGUUGUAAAGUGCUGUCAGCGGGGAGGCGUUACCCGCAGGAGAAGCACCGGCUAACUCCGUGCCAGCCGCCGCGGUAAUUC
rnacentral:rRNA from 1 species